CGCAGCAAUGCUAACAGGAGCUAUGCCUGGUUGGUCUGCACUGACUAUGGGGGGCUGGCUAGCACGAGCUACUGAAUUUGCUUCCAUGGUGCAGAGCCAGGUCUCUAAUUCACUAAGCCUUGCCUCAAGCACAGUAAACGAACUACAUUUAUUACACAUACCAUCAUCAUUAAAUGAGGCAGAGGAGUAACUGAGCAUCUGACACGUAGAGCAAGAGAGAGCAGGAGAGGGAGAAGGAGAGCAAGAAGCCAUGGCUAGCAGUUCAGCUAAAGUCACUAGCAGAGGAUAGUGUGAAUCGGUGUAGAAGUGGCGAAAGAGUCGCACAGAAUAAAAGAGUUGAGGGUGAAUUAGCAACUUCUGUUACUGUGAAUGUGCAGAUUAAGUUGGUGAUGAAGACACAGAUGUAGUGUUGGUAAGAGAAAAAUGAUAUAAACUGAGACAGACAGCAAUCUGAAACACGUUGCACGUCACGCUGCACGUUAGCAUGUCAGCACGUCAGCACAAUCAACAGACAACUAAAUGCAAUAUCUAAAUAUACAGUGUUUCACCUGGGGUGACUGUUAUGAUGUGGUAGGUUUUCUUGCAGGGUGGGUUCAUGUAGUGGUAUAAUAACUGAUAAUAAUCCACUAUAAACUCGCAGAGAACUCGGACUAGCUUCCCUGUCAUCAGCGUCAGAGACACUGUCAUCAUGUUCAGACGUUUGGGGUCAAUAUCUGUUCAUCUAUGAUUUAAAAUCUUAAUAACAGUUAUGGGAGAUUUUCAUGGGCUUAAUAUAACAAGUCGUCAGCCUGUCUCCUCUGCUCAGGAGAAGAGAUGAACACAGCUGUGACAACAAAAUGUGACACCACCUCACAUCAAUAAUAACAUCAAUAAAAUAUUUAGUUUUCUUGACAGAGUAAUUGACAUGGAAGUUGACACCAUUUUGUCACCUGACGGCCACUGCAGAAUCUCCAACACGCUCAGAGAGGGAAAGUUCAGGGGACGAGUAUUCAGUUGGCAAUCUGUGUUCUCACCACUAGAGGUCACUAAAUCCUACACACUGCUGCUUUAAACUGUUGAGAUCCUGAACUGAUCCAGCAUGUAACCACCUGGCUCUUCUCAGUGACCUUUAACCUCCACUGAUGUUGUGCAUUUAGUCAGUGGUCAGUUUAUUAGGUGCAGCCAGUAUUAAAUCUAUGUCAAUCCUGUAAUGAAUCCUCAGGUGAAUCCAGUCUGAGUUGCUGCUGAGUUGAACUGCAUCAUCCAAGAGGUGUUUCUGAUAUUUGCUGAUAUCAAUCUGAGUGACUGAUCAAUAACUAUGUGGCUCAUCAAUAACCAUGUGACCACCUGCCUGUGUCCAGGCUGCCUGCGGCAAGUAUGAAGGACCCUGCACCAAGGAGUUUGAUCCAGUCUGUGGCAGUGAUGGGACCACCUAUGGCACAGAGUGUGUUCUCUGCCUGCACAACAGGAAAGAGAAGAAGAAUGUGAAGGUAGCAUUCAAAGGAGUGUGCUCUCAUUAACCAACUGUGGUGGACACACACAUGCACACACACACACACACAUUCCCUGUAUGUUGCCAUCUGAAUAAAGCUCCAUCCUGCAGCA